GCCCGGGUGGCGAAAUUGGUAAACGCAAGGGACUUAAAAUCCCUUGGGGGCAACCCCUUGCAGGUUCGAGUCCUGCCCCGGGCA
rnacentral:tRNA from 2 species